rnacentral:rRNA from 1 species
GAUGAACGCUGGCGGCGUGCCUAAUACAUGCAAGUCGAGCGAACAGAUGAGGAGCUUGCUCCUCUGACGUUAGCGGCGGACGGGUGAGUAACACGUGGAUAACCUACCUAUAAGACUGGGAUAACUUCGGGAAACCGGAGCUAAUACCGGAUAAUAUAUUGAACCGCAUGGUUCAAUAGUGAAAGACGGUUUUGCUGUCACUUAUAGAUGGAUCCGCGCCGCAUUAGCUAGUUGGUAAGGUAACGGCUUACCAAGGCAACGAUGCGUAGCCGACCUGGGAGGGUGAUCGGCCACACUGGAACUGAGACACGGUCCAGACUCCUACGGAGGGCGGCAGUAGGGAAUCUUCCGCAAUGGGCGAAAGCCUGACGGAGAAACGCCGCGUGAGUGAUGAAGGUCUUCGGAUCGUAAAACUCUGUUAUUAGGGAAAAACAAAUGUGUAGGUAACUAUGCACGUCUUGACGGUACCUAAUCAGAAAGCCCCGCCUAACUACGU